UACGUAGGGUGCAAGCGUUAAUCGGAAUUACUGGGCGUAAAGAGUGCGUAGGCGGUUUUCUAAGUUUGGUGUGAAAUCUCCCGGCUUAACUGGGAGGUGCGCCGAAACUGGAAGGCUUGAGUAUGGGAGAGGUAAGCGGAAUUCCUGGUGUAGCGGUGAAAUGACGCAGAUAUCAGGAGGAACACCGGUGGCGAAGGCGGUUCUCUGGGCAUGACCUGACGCUGAGGAGCGAAAGUGUGGGGAGCGAACAGG
rnacentral:rRNA from 1 species